rnacentral:lncRNA from 1 species
CUCAGUCUGUGUACUUCAGGAUCUCAGCUGCAGGAGGAGGAGACAAACGAGAGAGGAAAUAACAAAAAUUUAAUGGUCAUAUUAAGAUUAGUACAGGUGUGUGAAGGAAACAUGCUGGCAUGAGACUUUGACAUUACCAUUCUUUGCAGGUUUUAUACCCUGUGUUGGGCUGACCCAGGAAUGCACUGCCCACCUUGCUUGUCGGGCUAACUCUGGGAGACAUUCACACCCUUUUAAUGAACUCAGGAAGAAUAAUUUAUACCAGCAGUUGAUCCACUCGACUCUUCAGUGCUGUUUAUCUAAACCAAAGGCCACUCUCCAUCCCCUUGGUGUUGAGUUAAGGCAGCUUCUUUGCAGCAGCUGUGGUCAGUCAAAGUCUACAUUAUUCCCUGAGCUUCAUGAGUACGUUU